AUUGAACGCUGGCGGCAGGCCUAACACAUGCAAGUCGAGCGGAUGAAGGGAGCUUGCUCCUGGAUUCAGCGGCGGACGGGUGAGUAAUGCCUAGGAAUCUGCCUGGUAGUGGGGGAUAACGUCCGGAAACGGGCGCUAAUACCGCAUACGUCCUGAGGGAGAAAGUGGGGGAUCUUCGGACCUCACGCUAUCAGAUGAGCCUAGGUCGGAUUAGCUAGUUGGUGGGGUAAAGGCCUACCAAGGCGACGAUCCGUAACUGGUCUGAGAGGAUGAUCAGUCACACUGGAACUGAGACACGGGCCAGACUCCUACGGGAAGCAGCAGUGGGGAAUAUUAGACAAUGGGCGAAAGCCUGAUCCAGCCAUGCCGCGUGUGUGAAGAAGGUCUUCGGAUUGUAAAGCACUUUAAGUUGGGAGGAAGGGCAGUAAGUUAAUACCUUGCUGUUUUGACGUUACCAACAGAAUAAGCACCGGCUAACUUCGUG
rnacentral:rRNA from 1 species